CCUACGGGCGGCAGCAGUGAGGAAUAUUGGUCAAUGGGCUUACGCCUGAACCAGCCAAGUCGCGUGAGGGAAGACUGCCCUAUGGGUUGUAAACCUCUUUUGUCAGGGAGCAAUUGGCGCUACGUGUAGCGUUAUCGAGAGUACCUGACGAAAAAGCAUCGGCUAACUCCGUGCCAGCAGCCGCGGGAAUACGGAGGAUGGGAGCGUUAUCGGGAUUUUUGGGGUUUAAGGGGGACGUAGCCGGAAUGCCAGGUCGCCGGUAAAUUCCCGGGGCUCAACCUCGCUCCGCCGUUGAAACUGGCGUUCUUGAGUGGGCGAGAAGUAUGCGGAAUGCGUGGUGUAGCGGUGAAAUGCAUAGAUAUCACGAAGAACUCCGAUUGCGAAGGCAGCAUACCGGCGCCCAACUGACGCUGAAGCACGAAAGCGUGGGUAUCGAACAGGAUUAGAUACCCCAGUAGUC
rnacentral:rRNA from 1 species